AGAAUAAGCAAAAGCAACCCCAUUGUCAAAAUCUUUAGGUAAUGUCAUAUUUUCAUUUUUUUUCAUUUGGUAAGAUAUUGAAUUUUUAUGGAAGAGGUGGAUCAGUCACAGAAUGGUAGCACUGUGUCAUGUAUGAUAAGUGCACAAGGUGCUUACAGCGCAGAAACUGAUUUAACUGGUAGGUAAUACAUAUAAUAUAUGAUACCUGUAUCUAAAUAUAUAUAUUUUUUUAUUUUUGUAUUUUUGUAUUUUUUUUCCUGCCCAGGCAGAAAUGCGUUAAUCUAUUUUUUCCCCUAGUCUAGCAGAUUGUUAAUUGUACAUAACCUAUUUAUGGUUGAGACCUGUCUGGUGAUUGUGUUGAUAUAACAGACACAGGAACAAUAAGUUUGCAGAGCGAAUUUUACAACAGUUAAGUAAAUCCAAGUUAGAUGACAAAGUGUGGCUCUGUUUAUUACUGGGAAGUUACAAUGUGGCUAGGUAGAGAAGCUGUAUUCUUGUAGGUGUGGAGUCUAGUUGCAUUAUGGGACAUAUAUCAGCAAUAAUACCUGACAAAAUCAAUACAACACACUUUAUCAAAUGAUAACUACAUAGGAUAAGUUGAUGUUUUUGUUUUUUUUUACAUUGCAAUUUCUGAUUUAUUUUAUUAAUUCGAAUAACUUAGAAUGUUUACCAUGUUGUAAAACAUAAUUUCAAAUUGAUGUUUGCAGGCUACAAAUAUAGCACACACACACACACACACACACACACACACACACACACACACACACACACACACACACACACACACACACACACACACACACACACACACACACACACACACACACACACACACACACACACUCUGAUACACCAUGUAUGCUCAUUUUUAUAAACUGAAACCGGAAACUAUGUUUUGAGAAAUUUUGGAAAUGGAUAUUUUAGAGUUUUAUUGUAUUGUAUUUAUAAAAAGUUUGUACUCAUUCAUAGCGACACACUAUAAAAUACAGUAAGAAACUGGGCAUUUAAUCUAGUUGUGUGCCUUCACAAAUAAACACUUGCAACCAAACCGGUUUGCAUUCUGUCUGACUGGUCAAUACCACAUAGGUGUUGAUUGUUAAUUAAACAACAUCACUAAUAAAUACAUAUGCAAUUAAAUCUGUACAGUUUUGGUCUCAAGAUCGUUUGCAUAAUGUUUGUUCCUGAAACUCAGUAAUUGUUUGUUUUAAAAAAACAAAAAAAAAAUAGUGAAAUUAAAAAAACUCGAACCCAAAUUUACAAGAAGUUUAUAAAGUGUAUAUUUGUGACACAACAUAAACCGGUUUCAUAACAAAAAAAAGAGAACGUUUGAGAUUAACAUAUACUACAUAAUGCAUUCCCAAUCCAUUUGCUAAGUAUGCUGUUGCAUAAUUCUCUUUUGAAUGUGUUUGCUUUAAAGAACUGUUAAGUGUUGUGUAGCUUUAACAUGAAAUAGAUUUCCUAUAUAAGGUCAGCGCAAUAUUGUUUAUCAACACAGAAAUUGAAUAAUCUCUUGAAAGUGCGAAUGGAAUACGGAGAAAGUAUCAAAACAUCCAGAUGACAUUGCUAACUACUGUAUUUUAAUGCAAUAGUCUAUUAUGUAUAUUUUUUAAUAUUACAUUGAAUGCAAGAGUCUACGAUUUAUAUUUUUUAAUACAUUGAAUGGUAUUUUAUAUAACUGUAAAAAUGUAAAUAAUAUAUUACGCUUUACAUAAGAUAAUAUAAUGUUUUCCUUGUGAAUUAAACUCUGCAGCACGAUAUCCCUAGGUAUUCCAUAAAUACAUAAUUUAAAAAUAUAAUAUAUAUAUAAAAUAUAUGUAAAAAAUAAAAUAAACACAAACACGUUUUAUAUUUUCAUUAGAAAGACUAUUCCUAUCAAUCACAAACAGCAUUGAUGUCACUGCGGUUAAUUACGGCCAGUUGCAAUUUACUAAGAAACCCACUAAUAUCAAACAAUUAUAACAAAGGCAUGUUUUUGAAUUUUGCAUAAAGAUUGUUUUUUCAAUUUAAAGUUCCAAAUCAACAAAUCGGAUGCAUCCUGUUAUCUUAUGGAUAGUCAAGAGGAAAAAAUAAAUAAAUGCAAAAGCAUGCAAUAAUAUAGGACCCUACCUGUGCCCAAUAGGAAUAUUCUUCAGAGAUUUUUGUAAUGUUCAUUAGCUUUGGAAACUAGAAUUCCCCUUCUGAUCAGAAACAAUUGUAACGUGUGCAAGUGAUAUCUUCAGUUGAAGGCUGGCAGCCUGUGUCAGUCUGUGCAAGGUGUAACUGGAAUCUCUGCCUGAUCUCCUGUGUUCUUUGUCUGUGCAUUAAUGGAACACAGAAUCUAAAGUGUCUUUCCCCCCAAACAUUGUUCUUCUUGUGCCAUUCCCUUCAGCUGUUUGUUUGUAUUCUCUCGUCUUUUAUUGGUAAACGUUAAAAAAUGAAAUCAAUACAGCAACCUUUCCUCCCGCCCCCUCUUUCAGUCUGGUGCAUAUGGGCUACUUCUCAUGUAAAACAGAGGGUAGGGGAUGUCUGGAUAUGCCCCAGUCCUAUAGAACCCAUAGGGCGACAGCUGUAUGCGUCUGUCAAGGGACUUUCUUCCAUUCUGUGCAAGCCCCAGAUGACAUGUGUUGGUCAGGGAUGAAUAAGAGAUAGAAGAUGAACAUCUCGAGUCCUGCUCUUUUUUUUUUUUUUUUUUGGACUCUCUAAUGUGUUCUCAUUCUGUGAAGUAUCUGUCUAAUUUUUUUUUUUUUUGCACAAAUGCUAAGAUCCCAUCUGCAAUAUAAGAAAGUUAUUUAUUUAUUUGUUUGUUUGUUUGUUUGUUUGUGCUGGCUUUACUGUCACCUUUGUUUCCAUCACAUUCCCAAUAACAGAUCAGCAAAUCCCAGCCAGGGCCCUCUGUGAAUAGGCAAACGAUCUGUUAUAGAUCAGACUAGGUUAUUGGUUUUUAAACAACUCAUUUUAUUUAUAGCUUACACUGGCAGGGUGAAAUCCUAUGUAUUUUCUGCCAUGAUAUAUAUAUAUAUAUAUAUAUAAAAAAUACAAAUAUAAAAAAAAAAAAUUAAAAAAAGAAAAUAUUAAAAGCAUUACUUCAAACAUAGAUUUUAUACUUUAUAUUUUCAUGUAGUUUAUAGUGUAUACAGCAGAUGGAUUUUUUUUUAACCCUCUUGUCUACUCAUUCGAUGUAUUUCAAUGUUAUAUAUUUUAUGCUUGAUGCCCCCGGCUGGCAGUGUUUUAGCUGUUUGUUGAUCAGUGUGGCAGCUGGAGAUGUCGUAUCGUUGUCAGGACUCAUCUGCACCUGAGCAUAGCCCAGCAGAACCCCCAGUAUACACCAGUCCAACCUGGCCUCUCCAUUUAACAAAUGAUCAUAGGGAUGCCGUGUUUUUUCAUCAGCGAACUGGAAAGCAGCAAGUCAGUGAAUAGCAAAUCUUUCCUUUUGAUCCCAUAUUUUGGAAGGAGAGCUGAUUUAUUGUCAGGAUUUCCUGGCAAGGUAUUAACCAUUAUUUUGGCCGGGGAUGGAGAAAGUCGGUGGGUUGGCUUCCUUUCUGCCAGUCCACCCACUGAAGCAUGUCAUUGAACAUCACUGUUAAUGGCAAUUUACCUGAAUGGCUUUUCUUUUCAAACCUCACUUGCAAAAGACGACUGAUUAAACAAAUAAAAUCAAAGUAAAAUAAAAAUAAGAUUAAGGAAGCAAGAAGACUGAGCGGUGUAGGAGUUAUAACACAAGAUGGAAUCAUUUUGUUAAAUGCCAUAUUAAAAGAUUUUAUACCUAAUACGUACCAUUAAAAUCUAGCCCCCAUAUACCAUUAUAGACAAAACAAACAACCAGACAAGGCUAGAAUGCUGAAUAUUGGCUUUAUUACUGAAUGACAAAAUUCCCCAUCGUGUUGGACCAUAGACCACACAUGUAAAGGCUGGCUGAGCAUAGUAAUCAGUGAAGUUCACACAUGUAUAGAGUUCCAAGCUUGGCCUUAGUGAUGAUCUGUUGAAGGGCUUGGGUCUCCCCAUUGAACAGGGCGAUGUGCCUGCAUUGAGCUCUGCUAAAGGAACCCACUCCCAUUGCCUGCAGCCAAUCUGUGCUUACAUGACCACUAUGCUAUGGACCAGUCUCUCUCUGACUGUAUAUAUCCUCAUGUCAUGGUAGAAUAACACCAUACACCAAUACACUUCAGGCUACCAGCUUCUCAGCACAACCAGCAAUUCAGUUUGAUGGAACACAAAUAAUACACAUUGUAAUAUUAUGUGCUAGGAGUUUAUAUAUCUUUCAUCUUAAACUUUAGAAAGAAAGGAAGAAAAAAAAAAGAAUGAAUGAAAGAAUAAAGGGAAAAAAUAGAAACAAAAAUAUCUACAUUAUUUAUGAAUACAAUUAAAAUAACUUUGUUAUUCCUUUUUCCUUUUAAUUUUGAAUUUACACAUAAAUGACAUAGGGGGAAGUAGGGAGAAGAAUAAUUAAUAUUAUAUGUAACAGGGAGUGAGUUGAGGAAAGAGACAGAGUGAGGGAGAGAGAAAGAGGGAGAGAGAGGGAUUGACUUGAGAAUGAGGGAUUUAGGGACAGAGAGAAAGAAAGGAGGGAGAAAGGGGGAUGAGAUGAGAAAGAAAGAUUUAGUGAUGGGGCAGUUUCUGCAAUGAUUUGCAUCAAAGCACAAUUAAAAUGGUGAUUCCUAUAAUUGUAUGGAUGUAGAGUCAAUCACAUAAUUUCCAGAAAUCUACAUGUAUUUUUUUUUUUUUUAAUUAGAAUGGUUGUUAUUGCCAUUAUUGUGGGUUAAACCUGCAGGGUAAUGAGACACUGGGGUUUAUUUACUAAACAGUGCGUUCUGCUGAUCUCAAAAUGAACGCCAAUUGACCAUUUAGUCCAAAUUCUUUAAUUCUGCCAAUUUACACACUACACCCCCCGAUACCUCAUCUCAUGUCCUAGAUAGUGUUCAACCAUGAUUUGCUGGAUCCAUAUAGACUAGCUAGAUAGAUGAAGGACAUUGUAUCAUAGAAUUCCGUCUUAGAAUGUUUGCCCAUAUAUCGCAGCAUUAUUUUAUUGGAGGAAAUUAAGCAGACAUUGCCCCCUCCCCCGCCUGACACUGCUAGAUACCUGAGUCUUUUUCCAUGCAGAAUCGGUCAGAUCUAUGAACAGGGAGCUAGAGUUGAAAAGUUCAAGUUGAAAGUUUGCUCUAGUGCUCAACAGACAGAUUUUUCAUCAAUAUAAAUGACGUUAACCUCAGUGAUCCCACAUUGUCCACUUGCAACAUUUUAGUCUAUGAUCUGUAAGCAUGCAAGCCUCUAAAUGACACUUUGUAAUAAAGUGAGAAAUAUUAGUACCAACAAGGACACUUUGAUCAGCUGCCUGAGACUGCAUCACCUCCAGUAUCACCUCUGCGAGUCUACGUAUUAUAUUCAAAUACAGAGAGCAGGAACUGCAGGUGUCUGGGAACUACAUUUCCCGCAAUGCUUCACUCCUCAUUGAUAAAGUGCUUCUCUUAAAGCAAGGAAAAUAGUGAUUAAACAAAAAUAACAGUAGUUAGUUUUCCUUAGAUUGGUUGUAUAUCUCUGUUUAUAUGGACAAAGUGCAGGAUUUAAUAUAGAUACAUAUAUUUUAGUAACUAUUUUAGUAAUACACGGCAAUCACACAGUCAAAAAAGAAAACUUUGAAUUCUGAGAAUAUGUUAUUGCUUUGGAGAGCAACUGGAAUAUUUUAUAACUGGUACGAUAGAGAGAGAUAGUUAAAUAAAGAGAAUUAGAUAUAUAAAGAGAUAGACAGACAUAUAGAUAGAUAGAUAGAUACAUAUAGAUAAACAAAAAUAAAUAAAUAAAUACAUAGAUUGAUAGAUAAACAAUAGAUGGAUAAAUAAAUACAUUGAUAAAUAAUAGGUAGAUAAAUAGAUGGAUAUAUAUAUAUAUAUAUAUAUAUAUAUAUAUAUAUAUAUAUAUAUAUAUAGAAAGAUAGAUAGAUCGAUUGAUUAUUGGAUAAAUCGACAGAUAGAGAACAAUCAUUCCAUUUUACUUUCUUUCUAAAUAUCAGUACACAUCUAUCCGCAUUGAUUUCUACCUACUAAGAUCACUGCCAUACUUCGCCUAUUUGAGACAUAAAAACCAUACAAAAAAAACAUAACUAAGUGCAAAACACUUUAAUUUUAUUUUUCAUUUUAUUUAUUUUUUUGGCACCCUAUGAGAAUAUUUGGCAAAACGCUCCAUACUCUGUAAUAAGGCUGGCUGGUGAUUUCCUCAGUAAUUAGGCUUUGUCCAGUGAUUAUUUAUGUUUCCAUACAAUGAACACGUUUGUCAGUCCCUGGCGAUCUCUGUCCAGAUAAAGAGCAAAUAAAAAGAAAUCUCUCACUCUUUCCUUCCUCUCAACUUAAUCUCUGCUGCAAGUGCAUUCCAGCAGCUCUCCUGAUAACGAUUUCUAAUAAACAGCAAGUUAAACGAUGGCUGGAGCUUCCAGCCUUUACAUUGCAUGGCUUUUGUUUCUGGGAUCAGCCUGAAACCUACCGACCUACCUACCUUGGAGUUUUAAAUAUGAUUGGAGCUCAGAGAAUGAAUAGAGCAGACAGAUCACCCUCUCCAGCUCUCAUCUCUCCACUAAUGCAAGCUGGCAAUUCAAUUACUGGCAAAGGAAUAUUUUAACAGAGUCCCUCCACAAUUUCUACACAUACUGUAUUAACCCAUCCCAGACUGCCAUGCUGCUUAGAUAUAAUUUCUCUCUCUCACUUUCUCUCUCUUUAUUUCUUUUCUUUCUAUCUUUUUCUUCUCUCUAAUAUAUUCGUAUACAAUCAUACAACCACCCAUUUAUAUGUUUAAUUAAAGUUUACAUACAAUUGGUCAUUACAUAAUUUUUGAGUCCUAAUAAUAUUCACUAAAUUGAGAGUUGUGUGAAAAAAAAAACCACGGGUUAGAAAAUUGGAUUAUAUAAAGCUAUAAUAUUUACUAGUGCAAAAAAUUCUAAAAUAACAGAAUCUAUUUUGGAAACUAAGACUGUGCUCUGCACACAUUACAAAUCCAAGAACAAGUUAUCCCAUAUUCAGUGCUUGUUUGCAUUCUCCCAUAAGAAAAGCUCAGCAAAAUUUGUCCAGAGACUAAAUACUACACUGGAUUUCUUAAUGUUGUGUGGAACAGAAUAAUGUGUGUUGCUAUGUGUUAUUUCUGUACCACUGCAAAAUGAGCCAAACUGUGGGCCUGCUUCAAUAUUUAGGACACAAUAACUACAUUAAAAAAAAAACCAACAAAAAACAGUGCCCUCCAUCUCACUUGGUUAUUCACUACAGCGAGGAUUCAAUGUGAAUUUCAAAUUGAAGGUCAAAUAGCUGAUCUGGAAAAAUUAUCUGACUUAACUAUUCCUUCAGUUCAGCUACUCUGGCCUUAAAUUUAAAACCCACUUUCAAUUCACCUUGCAUUCUCACUUCAGUGAUUAACCCUGUCAGUUAACUUAGCUUCAAGUGGGAAUCUCACCACAAAUCUAUGUUUAGUGAAUAACCUCUCAAAUAUCAUCUAGGCUAAGUCCCCCACCCAAAAUAAUAAUAACAUUGAUAACCAUACAUUUUGGAGACAAAGUUGUUGUAUUUUGUCUCAGAUGUGCUUUCUAGAUUUAGUUAUAGCACAUCCAAAAAUUCCUACAUGGUACCUGAUUUGUGACUUGGAAUUAUUUUGGAAAGACUGUUGAUUAGUGAUGGUAAUUUCUAUAAUGAUCUGUGAGUCCCUCACCCUGAAAUUCGGGGACAGCUGACAUCUGUCCUGGAAAUAUAUUGACCUGAACUGAACCAAACAUUUUUAUGACUUUCAAACCAUAGCUGCAAAAAAUCCAAUGCUUCAUAUAGAUCUGCUCCUGUAGUCCUGUCAUUGAAACAGCUGUUUAUUUCACUUGGAAAACCAAUAAUUGCGCUGAAGAUACAAAUCAUUAUCUAUUUCCCCCAAUUAGUGAAACUCAGCGUUACUUAUCUAUUUGCAAAAGUUCAUUUUAAGAAGUCACAGAGUCAAUCUGGUCAAUGAAUUUGCUAUAUAAAAAAAAAACCCACAUACACAUAUAUCGCACACACACACACACACACAUGUACAUACAACUCAUGCACACUCCUACACACCCAUUUUGGCCUACAUCUUAAAGUCUAAGGUAACUGUAGCCCGCCAUUUAUUUAACAGACCCCUAGAGAUUAAAAAAAACCCAGAAUAUUAUUCAUUUAUAAAUUAGAACUAUACAAUUAAAACAGGUAUUUUGUGUCAGAGAGCAAAUUGUACUCAAACACUCAAAUUUUGUUCAAACACAGUCAAUGAGUAUAGCACAUGGAUAUCACAUUGUUCUUUCCAAGCAUUUUGUGUUUAUUUCUAUGCCAGUGAAAAUACACUAAGCAAAUUAAAACUUCAUCUCCGUAAAUGCAUUAUUUAAAUUUUUCUACUUGGCAAACAUGCUCUGGUUUAGUCUUGAUUAGCCUCGCCAAUAAACCUUUUUUUUUUAAAAAGCUGUAUUUCCCAUGGACUAUCAUGGGAAAUGUAGUUCGCUAGCAUCUGUAGAUGCAGUGUUAGUCAUGACUGCUAAUCUGCAGCAUUAUCUAUACAUUGCUUUGAGCUAUAGUGUGAAUGCGUGUGCAAUUUACAUGUGAUCAUUCCCUCACCACAGGAAACCUUUGCACAUUUUCACUUUAAGUGCAUCACGCUCUUUAAUAAAAAAAAAUAAAAUCUUUAUUGCUUUAUUUUUUUUUAUAACAAAACAAAUACAAAUACAUUUUAAACACAUAAGCAAGACAGAAAAAAAGACAAUGUUUUCUGAAGAACAAUAAUUAUAUUUAAAUCCUAAUAUAUAAAGUCAAGACAAGUGAAAAUAAAAAAAGGUAUCCAAAAGAUCGGUGCAAAAGGAUAAUUAUUAUUAUUAUUAUUAUGGCCGUUUAUAUAGCGCCAACAGAUUCCGUAGUGUAAUUCCUCUGUUUGAGUAUUAUCUAGAAUGUUGGUCUUGAAGACGUUUUAGUCAUUUUACAGCAUCAUUAAAGUGCAGCACACUCACAGUGAUAUCACGUAUACACAGUCCAUAUAGUGCACAUGUAUUUGUUGUUUUAUACUGAGAGUAACUAAGGUAAUCUCUGUUUACUUUGAACAUGCAAAGUGGGCAUGUGUUCACCUUAUUGACUUUCAGUCAGCACUGUAAAGCAAAUUAAAAAGUAAGAAAUCAAUAUGACCAUAAGCUAGAGAUAACUCUGCCUGGCUAUCGAGUGUCUUUAUGUUUGUUAAUGCUAGCAUUUUUAUAUAAAAUGUAUUGUGAACAUGUUAAUAACAUUAAAAAAAGAUAAAAAAAACUUAAGAGUUAAAAACACCUCAACUGAUGUAUUAUUAAAUAAUUAGAUAAUCAACAUAAUGUAACUAUAGGUUUUCUCUGCAUAAAAUACAAAACACUUCUAAGUUGUAGUGAAAAAAGUAAUCACUCAGAAAAAGUUGAAUUAAAUUUUUUUUUUCAGCUACAUCAAAUUAAAACACUGUCUGCUUUUAUAAAAAAUAAACUUAAAGGACAACUAUAGGCACCCAGACCACUUCAGCUUAAUGAAGUGGUCUGGGUUCCAGGUCCAGCUAGGGUUAACCCUUUUUUCUAUAAACAUAGCAGUUUCAGAGAAACUACUAUGUUUAUAAAUGGGUUAAUCCAGCCUCUAGUGGCUGUCUCUUGACAGCCGCUAGAGGCGCUUGCAUGCUUCUCACUGUGAUUUUCACCGUGCUUCUCACUGUGAGAAGAUGCCAGCUUCCAUAGGAAAGCAUUGUAAAUGCUUUCCUAUGAGACUGGCUGAAUGCGCGGGCGGCUCUUGCCGCACAUGCGCAUUCAGCCGAAGACAAGGAGAGGAGGUGGAGAGGAGGAGGAGAGCUCCCUGCCCGGCGCUGGAGAAAGAGGUAAGUUUAACCCCUUCCUCGCCAUCCAGCCCGGCGGGAGGGGGUCCCUGAGGGUGGAGGCACCCUCAGGGCACUAUAGUGCCAGGAAAAGAGUAUGUUUUCCUGGCACUAUAGUGGUCCUUUAAUUAAAAAACAGUCUAAUUAUACACAUUUAACAAGUCCAAGUUAAAAUCUAGUGUUAGAAAUGUUGAAAAUAGUAUGGUGUCUAAGUAAAAGGAGAAUUGUCAGGAAUUUGAAGAGAAUUCAAAGUGAAUUUGAAAUUUCAGGUCAGAGUAUCUAAAUAUAGCAUAUCUGAUUUGGAGAUGUUUUCAGUUUGAUUAUUUUGGCCUUAACUUUGAAAUUUACUUAGAAUUAUAUUGAAUUCCCAACAAUUCUCACUUAGUAAAUUACCCUGUGAUCGUUAUUGCAGUGCUUGGUAUACUGAUAUAAUAAAUCUCCAAUCACCCAGAAUACUGCAGUGAACCCCAUGUUGUAGUUUUACUGGGGAUCUAGCCAUGUGCUCAUGAAUCAUAAACAUCAAGUUACCCUAAAUCACCAGAAUGAAUCCCCAGUAUUUCUAUUUCCAAAUGUUUAAUAUGAAGACCCUUUUCUGCGUAGGAUUGCAAGUGGCCCUGUGAAUUGGGUAAGCCAACAAAUGGCAACAUUUUUGAAUGAGAACUCUGUCAUUGACAUUCUUAAAUACUUUAACUAAAUUCCAUGGUAAACUGCAAACUGCUGCCGAAAUAUAUUCAUUUUUGGAGUAAAUAAUCAGGUUGUGUAAAAAGUAUAUAUUUACUUAUAUGGUUAAAUAUAGAUAACUCUUUGAAUGCCAGUAGUAUGCAUGCUAGUAUCAGCAACAACAGACUCCAUUUACACUUUAAAGGGAAAUAAAUGGGUAAAAAUUACCACAUAUUUUUGAUACAAUAAAAUAAAGCACACACAAAAUGCAUAAAAAGUUAAUCACCUUUAACUCUCAAUUUUUUUCUACUGAACAUUGUUUAAUGGUUUUGCAUGUAUCUGCAGAUAAAACGAUCAUACACUAGGAAGAGGCAAUUGUCAAAAAAACCUCUGCAUUUUGUUGCAGUUAGACUUAUCACAUAGGAUGAGAGGUACUGCUCUGGCUGCUAUCAGUUUAUGCAUAGCCCGGUUUACUAUUUUGUGAACUUUGCUAUAUUAACCUGUUGGCAGAGUUAUAGUCCACACAUGCACAGUACACUGUUCAGUUCUGUCUCUUGGCAGGGGAGAGUUCAGCUUAAGUUGUAAAUAUAAUGUGCAAACAAGGAAUGCAAAAUGUGCAUCAAAUUGACAUAGCCAAAGUUUCAGCUGCUGAUUGACAGGAGCUAGAAGGAGGAGCAAUGUCCAGGGGAAAAUCCUUAGAAUUGGCAGUGUUUCAUGCUAAAACAGUGCACACACAGAGUCCGUGCACCAUAAGGUGCUUAGAAUAACCAUUUAAAGACAAGGCAAAUGGGGCUCUUGCCUUUAAAUGUACGGUAAUGUUUCAUAGCAUGCUGAUCAAUUAUAAACCAUAUAGUAUAUUUCUUAAAAUUAUUGUUUAUCUGGGUCCCAGUUAACAGGGGCCGACCGAGCACUAGGGCAAAUUGGUCAUGGUCAUGGUCAAAUUGGUCAUGGACCAAGGCUCUGGGGGGGGGCUUUGGGGGGGCCCGCCCCUGCUGCAGUGCAGUAAUGGCUGAGCUGAGGAGUUAAAUAAUCUCCCCAGAGAGCCAGCACUCAGUAAGUGGCCCGCACAGCCUUCCGCGGGCCCCUACUGCUACAAACCUUCUCCCCUUUCUACACUGAGGGACAGCUAAAGGGCCUUCCCAAACGACCCCACUAGGUUGCCCCUCAGUGUGCCUGUCUCAGUGAACACAGCCUUACUGAGCUGCCUGUAACACUGCUCAGGGCAGCUCCGUGUGGCUUGUUCUGCAGGAAGUGACAUCAUCAGUCACAGUGCAGAGUGAGCUGUGCAAAGCUACCAUGAGCAUAGUUAAAGGCAGCAUGGGCGAUGAGAGACCUCCAGAAGAGGAUUUGUGGACUACCAGGGAGGUAAGACUUGGGGAGGUGGGAUUUAUUUUUUUAAAUCUUUUUUUUUAUUUAAAAUAUUUUAAUUUUAUAAUCUCCCCCACUACUGCCCCAUCACAGUCCUUGUACACCCAAAGUCCCUAUACCUUUACACUAACUACAACUCCUACCAACCCAAGGCAGCCCAUACAUCCUCUGCAGUACCUACCCCCACACCCUCUGCAGCCCCUACACCCCUGCUCCCUCAGCAGCCCCUAUCCCCUGCUCUCCCCUGCAGACCCUACCUCCUGCAGCCCCUACCCCUGCUAUUCCCAGCAUGCCCCCCUGCUCUUCCCCGGAAGCCCUUACCCCCUGCUCUCCCCAGCAUUCCCCUACCCCCUGCUCUCCCCUGAAGCCUCUACAUCCUGCUCUACCCAGCAUGCCUCUACCCCCUGCUCUCCCCAGCAUGCCAUUGCAGCUUCUACACCGUUGCAGCUCCUACCCCUUGCUCCCUCUGCAGUCCCUACCCCCCUGCUCCCUCUGCAGUCCCAGCCCCCCUGCUCCCUCUGGAGCCCCUCACCCUUCACCCUCUAUAGCCUCUACCCCCUGCACCCACUUCAGCUCCUUCCCCCCUGCACCCUCUACAGCCCCGGCGCCCACUAUAGCCCCUGCCCCCAGGCACCCACUACAGCCGCUAUCCCCAGGUACCCUCUACAGCCCCUAUCCCUUAUGCACCCACUACAGCUGCUAUUUCCCUCUGCACCCACUACAGCCUGUCUCCUCUGCACCCACUACAGACUCUAUUCCCCUCAGCACUACUGACAACCCCUACCCCCUAUCACCCUCUACAGUCCCUCCCACCUGCACCCUCUGCAACUCCUACCCCUCCUCCCUCUGCAGCCUGUACCCCCUUGCUACCUUUGCAGCCCUUAACCCCUGCAGCCCCUACCCCCUACAGUUCCUACCACUUGCAGCCCCUACCCCCUUGCUCCCUCUGUAAUCCCUACUACUUUGCCCCCUCUGCAGCCCCUAUCCCCUUGCUCCCCCUGCAGUCCCCACCCCCGCUCUCUCUGCAGUCCCUACCCCCCUGCACCCUCUAAAACCCCUCUAAAGCACCCACUAUACAGCCUGUCCCUCUGCACCCCCUUCCCCCUGCACUCUCUACUGCACCUUCUUCCUGGCACCCUCUGCAGUCUCUACCCCUUUGCACACACAAGCAUAAAGGGACACUAUAGUUAUGAGAAUAACUACAACUUAAUGUUGUUCUGGUGAGCAUAGCCUGCCCCUGCAGGGUUUCUUGAUGUAAAUACUGCCUUUUCAGAGAAAAGGCAGUGUUUACAUUGCUGCCUAGGAACACUUAGGUGCUUACUGUGUCAGUGUUGCAAAAUGUGCAGCACGGACAUUCAGCAUCUCCACCACGCUCUGCAUGGAGACUCUGAACGCUUGUCAUAGUGAAGCACUGAUUCAAUGCAUCUCUAUGAGGAAAUGAUGAUUGCCACUGUGUGCACAAUCACCUUCCAGUGCUUUCCUGUGGUAAAGCAUUCAAUUGGCUGAUUUAAUCUAAAGUGAUGAACUCCGCCAAGGAGGCAGGCAGGGGAGGUGAAGUUUGGUCAGCGCUGAAAAAAUGGUGAGUAAAUAACCUUUUUAAUGGGGGUCUAUAAACCUAUAGUGUCUGGAUCCCAUUGUACAGCUCUACGGAAUUGUCUGGCACUAAAUAAACAAUAAAAUAAUAAUAAUAAUACACGUUUGCAUUCCUGACACUAUAGUGUUCCUUUAAGGUGGCUCGUAACAUUUAAUACUUGGUUUGUAAUUUCAGACACAAAAUUUGGAGGCCUGCAUACCUCAUACAAACACAUUACCAAAAUUCACAAAUACCCCCUUAUACAUAUUGCCAUGCUACACAAACACACAUAAAAUUAAUACAACCCUUUUUACAAAACCAAAAACAUGCAUUCAGAUAUUCUCUGAAUCCACACAUCCUGACACUACAUACAGAGACAUACAUAUAUACACUUACAGCAGGGCUCACAGUGAAUAUACACACAGAAACAUACAUUCCCUUUACAUGUACAUACAAACAAAUACACGGUACAUCUACACCAGCAUAUAUAUUGGUCUGCUGUGGGCCCAGGUGCUAAUUUUGCCUGGGGGCCCAGGCCACUGUCAGUCCAUCCCUGCCAGUUAAUCAAUGUUAUCAGUGUCCUAAAGUCGGAACUGUAUAUAUUCAGUGAAGUUUAGUUUGCAGAAAUUGUAGAUUACUUGGUCAAAUACAAAUGUAAAAUUCACAAAUCGGUAUCAUGCCUUUUUAUUUCCUUUCUGUAAGCAGAGUGCAUUAUAAAGACAGCUGCCAAAUUAUUUUAGUUCUGUUUUCUGGUCAUUGUAUCGAGUUUUAAGUUUAUACUGAUGAUUAUCCAAAUUCAACAAUCGGAAGAUUAUCAACUUGCAUUAUACAUUUGUAAUAUAUAUAUUUUUUCCUGCAUUUUUCUCAAUGUCCAUUUACAUGCUUCCUCAUUAAAGUGGGCCUUUUGAACAGUAAAAGGAAUAACAGAUAUGUCAAAAAAUGUUUGCUUAUGCCUUUGCUUAUGCGAUAACAUUUCAUAUAAAUUAUUCAUAUUAAAGAAUUAAAGAAUUAGGGUCAAAUAUGGAACGUUCCAUUUUCAAAUUGAAAUUUGCCAAAUUAGUAAUGUUACCUUUGAGACGGUGUGGUAGCCCAGGAAUGAGAAUUACUCCCAUAAUGGCAUACCAUUUGAAAAAGUAAACAACCCAAGGUAUUGAAAGUGGGGUAAGUUUAGUCUUUUUUAGUAGCCAUUUAGUCACAAAAGAACUACCAGAAGUCCAUAUAUAGAUCACAUCCAUCGGAACAAGUUACAACACAUGUGAAGAAGAGAAGGGAUUGUCUGACAGCCGAAAGAGGGACAUUUAAAAGAAAAAGCUCCGGUUUCUACAUAUUGCAGCACUUUAUUUAUGCACUAACCAGCACUUUCUAUACUCCUGAAAAAGUCUAUAUGUAUUAGACGAAACGCGUAGAGUGAGUUUCUGAUUUUGAUUUAUAUAUUUUUUUGUGUUGCUGUUCUGUUCAGCCUACGAUAUUUGUGAGGUUUCCAGUUACCCAUAUCGCUGAGAUUUGGACUGGAGACUACAUUUGAUGGGCUUUUUAUCUACUUCCAUUUUGUAAGUGUGACAAUUAAAGCGUUUAUUUUUUUAUCUUAUAUCAGUGUUGCACUAUGGUCCUUUUAAUUUAUUUUCACAUGAAUCCUUGGAUUUGUGAACAUUAUUGAAUCUGGUGGAAUCUACAUAUGACUGAUGAGCCUGAAUUUUCUGCUACUCUGUGAGUGCAACCUUAAAUGCCGGGGGUUCCUCAAUAUAACGUUAUUACCCUAUGAGUUCUUUUUCCAUUCUAUGUUUUUAGCUAUAUUUUUCUUGUUAUUUAUAUAUGAGGAUUUAGAGGAAUCCUUCUGUUAUACUGUACAUCUAAAAAUGGGUAAUCACCUUUUUUAUUGCUUUUACAUUCACUGCACUUGGGUGGCCUAUACCUUUGUUUUAUUCCAAUUUAGCCAAAUAUACAUAUACACCUGAGUUCAGAAAACCAACAGGUAGUCUCUUCACUACCUGUACAGAACCAAGUAAGAAUAUAGAGAUUAACUGUCGAUUUUGUGAUCAUGUGAAAACCUUAUACAAAAAUAUUAAAUAGAGGCCAUUGUGUGUUAUAAGCCUAAUGAUGGAGCAUUUUUUUCAACAUGUUUAUUCAAAGUUUGAAGAUUUACUAGCCUCCCCAUAUUGUUUUCAGCUAGAGCUCCUGAGUGCGACAAUACCCUAUAUGUAUACAAGAGCUAUAGAUUUGAAGUUAUAUGGCCAAAUAAGAUAUAUCCCCAUUUCAAUUUUCAAAUGUAUAAAUUUGACUGAUAGAUUUGCAAGGCAUGGGUCUCAUUUUGUGGUGUAUUUUAGUACUUCACAAACUCAAAUUACCUGAUGCAAAAGUACAAACCAUGUGGUAUGCCAUAUGGUAUAUUUUAACCUUGCACAGGUAUUUUUGUCACAAGUUUCUUUCUAUGUUUGUGGUAUUAUUUUAUUUUUGCAUUCUUUUACAUGCACAUUGCAAGUUAGUGGUUAAUUUUUGGAAAUGUGACAUUUGCUAUUUUAAUAAAAAGCACUAUAUUGUGAACAACUAUAUCUCCUAAGUACAAAUCCUACUUGCUCCUUUGUCAAGUCUUUUUGAAAAUACAGGGCUGAAUUAAUAACAUGCCUCCUUUACCUUUUUUAAGUUAAGGUCUGUGUAUGUUGCAUUUUGGGAUGUUUUAUAUAGUUACAGUAUAUAUUUAUGUAGUAUAUAAUUUUAGCAAUGUUCACAUUUAAAUUGCUGAAUCAAUGCAUACUAUAUGCAAAUGUGGACACCAUAGGGGCUCUCACAUUAUAUCUAUUGAGUUUAACUGAGGUGCACUUUUUCUUUUACCAUUUUCUUCCAAAUUUGUGGUAUUACUUUUCAUUUAAUAUCUAUGCGCACGUUGUAUUUUUCUGGGUAUUUUAAAAAAAAAUCUUUAUUUUUGCAUGCAAAAUAUUACAUCACAGUAAACAUAAGACAUAAAGUUGUAUGAGAGUGAAAUUGAACAUUCUUGUCUUGAAUCUACACAGAGUUUUAUAUUUAUUUACAGCGUACAUUUUGGUUUGAGUAAAAGCUAGCCUACAGAAGAAGGUGCACAAGCCAUGGCAAACGUCUGAGGCAAUAAAAACAAACAAACAAACAAAAACAAAAACAAUAAAAUCUGGGAAUGGGAAUGCAUUGAGGGGAACCCAAGUCUAAAUAGGCAGGACUGUAUGCCAAGAAACACAGAUUCACAGUGGAGACCUGUAGUCUUUAAAAGGAAAUACAGUCUACAAGGUAAACUAUAUCUGUGCUCCAUAGGUAUAAAACCAGUAAAGCAUCCGUUGGGCUAGAAGAAUAUUACUGCUGGUCACUAAAACUGCCUUUGCCCAUGUCUAUUACCAAGUCUCAUUUGACUAUUAAGGCACAAAACCUAGGCCAUGUCUAGUUUCUAAAAAGAUGCCUGAAUGAAAACUACCCAUUGCAUUUAUUCAAAUGCCUCAGAAUGGAGUGGGAGCUCAUGUUGCUGGGAUCCCAUGAGAUCUGUAUAAGAUAUAGUAAGGAGUUAAUGUAAAUACCAGAAUGCCUACUGCAGGAGAGCUUACAUAAAGCGUUAAUCACCAAUGAGCAUCUUUAGGCUGCAUAUUGUAAAGCGCUACGGAAUCUGUUGGCGCUAUAUAAAUGGCAAUAAUAAUAAUAAUAAUAAUAAUGUCUGUUGUUAAUAAUUAAAGCACACUUAAGUCCAGCUUGAGUAUAAGAGGUUCCCUAACACCAGAACAAAAGCAUAAAACAAUUAAAAACCAAUGAAAAUGCAGCAUUUGAAAACAAAAUCAACAAUAAAAAGACACAUUUAAUGUGGAUCUUGUUCAGAAGGGCAAUUCCAGUGAUCGCUUCAACCUGGGGCUGUAGAUCCAACAGGUGUGAAAUCAGCAACAUUAUCCACAUCCCACUGGUGAGUAGGUCUGCUCAACCUAGAAGUGGUAGAUGUAGCCAGUCCCAAAGAUUGUAGAAAACUGUCCAUGUUGGAUACUGAGGUUAGCUUAAUAGUUGGUCAUUUCAGGGAUACCUCGAAUUUUCAGAUUGCGUUGCCGUGCAAUAUCUUCUAGCUGCCUCAUCCUAGUACUCAGCACUGCACAUUCGACACCUCCUGUAGUUGAACUGCUUUCAAAUCCUGCUUGAUUCCAAGGCUGUGAAUAUCUUCCUCCUGGCUUUUUUUUCUGCCGGCCAAUGUGCUCAUAUCUUCCUUCCUCAGACCACCAAUUCUGAGACAAAGAAGGCCUUCAUAUCUGUCACCAUUGUGAUGCUAUCUGUUAUUUUGGCCUAUUUUGGGUUGGGUUUGCCGCUGGGAAAAAAGCUCUAAAACUGCGGAAUUGUGGCUGAAUCUACAUUGGCUCCAGGUCCUCCUCAUCUGAGGCCAAUGCAGAGCCAUCAGCAGGGCUGGAAUAACAUAGGGGCUGAUGGAGUUGCAACUCCAGGCACAUGCCCAUGGAAAAGGCCCAUUCAUUUAAAAAUAAAUAAAUAUAUAUAUAUAUAUAUAUAUAUAUAUAUUUUUUUUUUUUACUACUCUUCACAUGCUCUUGUUUAAGUAUGGAAACUUAAGAGGGAUUCAGGGGAACAAAACUUGUGUGGACUGGCUGACAAUAAAAUUAAUUAAGGUAUAGUUGACACAUUGUGCAAAUGCUCUUCAGUCUCUUUAACACGGUGGCAUGUUCCUUUUGGUUUACACUCACUACAUACACAUUUUCUCUGUCCAAAGCUAUAUACCGGGAGCUUCUGCCUGCAAGUAAUAAGAUAAGAAGAGAAGUGGACAAGUGAGUGAUAGCGGACAGUCCUCAGAAAGCGUGGAUCAAGCGCAUCAUUAGAUGCAUUUAUGCCAGGCUCAGGGUGCCAUCUGCAUAUAAUGCUCUUAGUUGGCUAGCCUGCAAGAUUGGCAGGAUGCCUGAAUGCAUUUAUGCCAGGCUGACCUUCUAAUUCUUCGUGGAGCCCCGCUCUAUUUUUGGGCAUGUUCGUUGCUGAAAUCCUGCUUCACCGGACACUGUUUUUAGGAGAUAUGGAUUUACUUGAAAGAUGAAAGCGAGAGGUUAGCAUUGGGAAUGUGUUUUCUUAUAGCUAUAUCCUGUGGGUUUUCUUCCAGCACCACCUCCACCAGAUACAGGGCACUUGGAAAGUAUGCCUAUUUUAGUGUUUUCUAUUGAUAAGAUGCUGUAAUUAGGCCCAAUGAGCUCUUAACCUGGUCCUGGCUAUCAGGUGAGUCUGGCGUCAGGUCUGCCAUUUAGGCCUGAAUGACUGGGAGAGCAAGAGGCCAAUAUCUUGGGUAUGGCCUCCAUUUGGUCUCCUAGAUUAUGGGCAAUGUUUACCUAUGGUCCCCAAUACAGGUAGCACCUCAGUGGAGCAAACUUUGUUGUCCAAGUGAGAUAAUUUUAAAUCUCAUGUGUGCUACUGCAGUAAAAUUUGCUAUACUAUACUCGGCUACAUCUCCUGAGUACAAUACCCUCCAUUUAUACCUUUGCCAAGUUUAUACAAAGAUACCAGGCCAAAUUAGUUAACGUUUUUUCUUUUUUUUUAAAGAGAAAAGUGAAUAUUUGUUGCCAACCCUGACACCAAUCCAAAUGCAAAUGUCAACCAUAACCCUAAUAUUACUUAUAAUGCUAACUCUUACCAUACCACCAACCCUAACCCUUAAACACUAACCUUAACUCUAAACACCAUAUUUUGUGCAAUGGGAUGCAUAAGACUGAAUUAUGCUUUCAUGGGACUUUGACGGUAAGAUAACCACAAUUAAAUAACUCUGUCAUGUGUCCUUAAGGAGUUAAAAUGGGAUGCAUAAAAAUAAAUAAUUUAUAUAAAAUUGUAAAGAGAAGUUAUUAAGCCUUUCUAUUAUAUCACAAUGGAAGUAAUUUUCAUGCAUUUAUGCCAUGUUAAAUGUAAGACUUUUUGUAGCAGUUUGACAAAAAAUAGAGGCAAUUAUACACUGAGAAUACUAGAGGUUUGUUAGCCCAGAUUGCCUGACAAACUUCAAUAGGGUAAUGCGGACAUUCACUGUAGCAUUAGUCGGGUGGCAGAUGAGUGACUGGGUUGUCAGUCAAAAUUGUUUAAAAUUAAUAAAUGAUCCUUUAAAAAAACUACUAGGUAACUGAUAAUUAAUUAUUCAGCAUUCAUUGUCUCUGACAAAUAUUAGUUCAAUUCAGAAACAUUAGUGUAAAUGUGUGACACAACAGUGACACUAAAAUAUAAAUAAAAAAGUGUAAAUACCCUGUUCAUUGCUAUUUGAAGGAAUCAGCUAGGUAAUUUAGAGCAUUCAGAUUCCCAAAUUACCAGUAGAAUAAAAAAUAACAUGUACAGUAAAUACUGAUGACUUGGAAAAAAAACUUUGCUUCAAUGCCUCUCAUACCUAAUCAUCCCAUCCCUGACUGCUAUUUAUCUAGUUAGAAAGAUCAAUUAGUUACCUUUUUGUAUUUCCUCUGACUUACCAGCAUGGGGGUGUUUGGGAAACUGGGAUUUUAUUUAACUGUUCCUUGUAGGUGUGUAUAUAUUGCAUAUGUGCUCCAUAUAAGGCAUCUUCAGGCCCAAGAGGUGUUUAUAAAGGUUCUGCAAUUCUAAUCUUAAAUUAAUUUCUUUAAAUUAGCUCAAGAUGGGGAAAGGAAUGGCCACACCCAUGGCACAGUAGAUAUUAGAACCUUUUCAUGGUAAUUGGGAAAAUAAUUUAACCAAACUUCACUCGGGUCACUACAGUUAAUUAUGGAGAAAGUAUGCAUUUGUAACAUAACAUCAGCAAUAAGCAAGAAUAUGAAUUGCUAGUAUAUUUGAUGGAAAAAGCCAUGUUCCCCAAACAUUUAUAGUGAUCAUAAGUUUGUUUUGCUCAGCUUAUGUGAUAACAUGCCAUUUCCUAUCAAAAUGUAGCCAUAACUUUUAUUUCCCAUAACCCUGUACUAAAUCAAUUUCUUGUCAAUAAGACCCAAAGAUAAAAUACUGGGAUUGUUGGUAAUUGCACUGUGAUAUAGGCUGAAAAAAGACACAGGUCCAUCAAGUAACAUUUGUUACUGUUUUUGAUUCAAAAGAAGUGAAAAACUCAAUUUAAAAUUAAUUUCAAUUGUACCACAACAUAGGCAAACAUUUUUACUGACAUUAAAAUCACAGUCAGAUUUAUCUCUCCACAUAUUCAAUAAUAUAUAUUUGUUUAAUUUUUCCAAAUAAUAUCCAGAUGUUGUUUAAUAUAUACACAGAAUCUGCUUAAAAAAUCCCAAAAAACUCUUUAAUCAGAGAAUUCCACACCUUGUUGUCAAGAACACUUUUCUUUGCCGUAGGCAAAAUCUCUUUUUUUCAACUCUAAAUGGAUGACCUUUUGGUUUAAACGAAAGUCCUUCUAAUAAUCAGGUUACCAGACAGCUGUAUAUAUUGGUCCUGUAUGCAUGUACAUAUUGAUAUCAUAUCCAAGUUCAACUAUUUGUUGUAGAUCAAAUCAAAGGUUUGAUUAUUUGAAAAUCUGCCCCUGUCCAAAUUAUUAAGUAUAUGCGUGCACGCUCCUGAAGUAAUUCACACCAGACACAAGUUUCAGGUUAAUGAAGAACUUGAGGAAUGUUUAAUCGGGGGGCCAGCAUGCCCCUUAUAUGUGUGUCACUAUGUAUGUCUGUGGAUCUGUUUCAGUAUGUAUGCCUUUAUGUGUAUAUGUCUGUUUCAGUAUGUUUGUCUGUUGGUGUGUAUGAGUGUGUGUCAGUAUGUGUUUAUCUUUGUGUGUGUAUAUGUGUCCUUUUUGUAUCAGUGAGUGUGGAGUUGGGCCCUGGGGCGAGAUUUGAGCUUGGGCUUGGAGGCGGGCACCCGGGUGCCCAGAUCUUGAGCUGUGUUAGGGGUCCCAAAAUUUCUGAUGGUGGCCCUGUGUAAGACCAUAACAACAGGUUUCCAAUUUCCAUAACCUAUGUUGUUAGGAUGUUUAGUUUUGUCCUUUUUUAAAACAUUGCAUCAAAAAGGUGGGGGAGGGGGAGAAAAUGGGUGGAAAUUUUGAUAUCCACCUGCUUGAAACAUCAUUAAUCAACACAAGGCUGUUUAUUGCAGGUGUGAAAAGAGGGUUAUCAGGUUAUUUGGAGGUCUUGAAGACCUUUAUUUUAUUUUAUUUUUUAACUGCUUAACUUGAUCUGUUAAAAAUUUUAACUGUUAUAUUGAUCUUUCUAAUCAAUUUACUUUAAAAAACCUUGAGGAACAUUUCGAGAGACUGGUCAUUUUUGAAUUCUGCAUUAUAGAUGGGGAAGUAUUUUGAAAAUUGAAUUUUCAUAGAAUGUUGAAAGUUAUGGAAUGUAGGAGAAAGUCUGACAGAGUUAGAAGAUUAAUUUCAGAGGAUAAGUGCAAUCUUGGAGAUGGUAGUAGAAUGAUGUCAUGAUAGCAGAAGUGAGGAGCAAUUCCUAGGAAGAACAAGGAAGGUGAGUGACGAACAGUGAUACUUAGAGCUCUGUCGGCACGGUUAAGAUUGCUAUUCCACAUACUCAAAAUAAUUUUUUAUGACCAUUUUUCAUAAUGUGUCACUAGUAAAUUCCACAGAAUCAUAGAAUGAGCAACAAGACAUAUGAAAUAUUACUAGAAAUAUGAAUUAACAAAAAUACAUGUUGUUAUAAAAUUGACUGGAUUUGAGGAUUCUCAAUUUUGCGGCUACCAGUAAUGCCUAAACUGACAAGCAUUUUUUUUACAAACACCCAAAAUUUACUUGGCUUAUCAUAUUUAACAUGCAUUUAUGUAAAUGGCCCAUUUUUUCCCCAUAGAAGAUGACAACAACAUCAAAAACAUUAUAAUGGAGAAAUCUUAGUACGUUAUGCUAUAAGAUAAUUUACACAUACACAUCAUAUCAGGGUGGAAAUUCUCCGACCGGCCUCCAAAAAUAGAGAAUGGAAAUUACGCACUUAAAUGUUAACAUAAAAAAUGGCUCUGAACAUCGAUAAUACAUAUGCAAAUCAGUAAUUGCAUUUCAAAGCAAAUGAACUGGAACUGUAUUUUUAAACAAGUUGGUGACUAGAGCACAAAGAAUUUGUACAACGGAGCUUCUACUCUGGACACAGAAAACAAAAAAAGAAAACUUAAAGGACAAAUAAAAGGCAAAUAAAUAAAUAAAUAAAUAUAUAUAUAAACAAGGUAAGAAAAGGAAGGAUAUAUAAUAAGAGAGGGUAAAAAAAAGCCCCCAUGGGAGUAAGCCAAUUCCCCCUAAUCCAUCUUCAUUCUCUCCCUAUGUGCAAAGGCAACUCCAGAAUAAGGGAAAGCCACUAUCAAAGGCAGGGCUUUAUUUUAUAUCCUAUAGAUCAGGAGGGAGGCAAAGCUUUAUUUUCACCAAGAGACAUAUAUUUUAUUUCUCUCUUACGGUUUUAUGUGUGAGAGAUGUCAAAAAGGUAAAAUAGAUUGCUAAUGCAUAAGCAAAAGGAAGCUGUUUUGGCAUGCUUUGUGUCAUGAAGUGUUGCAAGGGGAAGAGAUCUGAGAUUUAAAGCUGAUGAGAGACCCCUGGGAGGCUCUUCUAAAACAUCUUUCUUCAUAAAUUCAAAAACAUGGUCAACUCAGCAGGGGAAAAAAGAGCUUUACUUAAAAUAGUUGGUCCUGCAAAUAAAUUUCUGAUGCCACACAGAAAUGGCAUGGACUUUAAACAUGGUAUGACAGCCUUCAUGUUAAUAAUGUAUAUUUUUCAUUCCCGGCAAAGUCAUCUAAUAGCCAAGUCUAAUAUACCAUAAUCUUGGAGAAAUGCUUCCACUUGCACAGAGGCUGUGAUAUGUUUCAUUAAAAUCAUGUGAAAUUCGUACAUGGUGAUUAGGGAGGGAAAAGUAGAACAUCACUCUAUUUAUAAUACCGUAUGAUUAGUCUGUAUGCCAAACACACAGAAAUAGUUCUAAAUGGUAAAGGUGAUUUGUUGCAGGCAGCUCUGAAAAUGUGCAUGAUUCAACAUCCAUCUUCAUGAAAUACUUGCGUUUUUAAAGCUGUGCCUGUGUGCGAUAGGUAGAGAAAGGUAGAGUCUGCAUUAAAUGACAGAAUAAGGAGUGAUAUGAAGUAACAUUGCAAGAGAUGCAAUCAGUUAGAAGAAAAUUAAGAUUUGAGAUGAGAAGGAGAGAGGAAGAGGAGGACGAGCAAAAAUAUAGCAAAGGAAGGGAGAAAAGGUGCAGGGAGAAAAAAAUCAAUUAGGAUUGGAUGGUUGCUACAGCGAAUGGAGAGAAUGUUUCCUUACUCUGUUCUUGAUUGCAUCGAAUAGUUUCAUUUUAUAUAGGCUGAGACAGAAUAUGUUUGUUGUGAAAUAUUCCUACAAAAAAUAGAAUACUGGCCCUGAAGAUUAAACGAUUUGUAUGAUGUAACAACACAGAUCCAAACUUUCAAUAGAAAAAAAAAAUAAUUAUUUUAUUUUUAUAUAGAGCCCUAGCAGAUUUCUGUUGCAUAAAUCUACAAAUUUACAGACACGUUGAUGUUUAAUAGACAUUACAUUAGGUUUAACAUAACAAACGUGAAGCUACUUACUGGAUAAGAAGGAUAGAGGGCCCUGUUACUUCAAGUUUACAGUCUAGCCAAACACAUUAAAGGGACACUUCGGAUUGCAAUGAAACCAUUUUUAAAUAUCACAUUGUAAAGAUAAUAUUAUAAAUAUAAGGAAAAAAAAAAACCUUUUCUAAGGUCCUCAAUUUUUUUUGACAUUCUUUAUUUUUGCAGUGCAAUGAAAAACAGACAAGUUUUUGUAAGCAAUACCACAUGAGUUGAUAUGACAAUAGAAGUUUCAAAAAUACAAUGUGUGGUAUGUCAAGAAUGUUGCUUUUUUUAUACAGAAACAAAAUGAAAGGGAAACAAGAUGGGCACUAUCUCUGCAGAUCAUUUUUUAGGUUCUAUCCUGUGAUGAGUACUGGCAUCAUUUACAUUGUAAAGUAGACAUGCAUUGCUAGAUUUGGUAACACAGUAUAGACAAAAUUUAUCAUAAUUUAUGAACCUUGUACUACACCACAGGGAUAAGAGUAGGGUAGUAAUAAAAUAAAAGGUUAUCUCAGCGAUUUAAUACCACUGGGUAGUGAAAUGAAAUACUGCAACAGCACAAGAGUAUGUCCUGCAUAGUACACCGGGAACAUGAGAACGAACACAGCUAAGCUGCAAUCAGGGACCAUGUGCUGCUCAUCCGAUGCCUAAAGAUGGUAAGUCCAUGCUGCCACUUCCAAUGUCCUCUCCAAGUAGAACUAACCUUCUUGUCCUUAACCAAUCGAUUGUAGGUCCUCAAAUUUGUGUAAACCACAAAACAUUUUUUGCUCAGUCUUGAGCAAUGCCCGUUCUAGGAAGUAGAAAGUAAGAUGGCCUACGAAGUCUGAAUUGUAUUUCACCCAGCACUGCAAGGAUUAAAGUGAAGCGAGAAUGGGCUGAUUAGCAGAAAUCAAAGCUUUAUGUACACAGCCUCUGGAUCUCAUGUUUCAGUAAUCAUUUUUCUACUUAUAUAAGCUGUUAGCUGAACUCCAUCUUUCAUUCAGCUUUGCUGUGUUUCCUAUUGGUAUAUACAUCUAUGUUUCUGGAUAAUGCAGCAGAGAAGUCGAAAGACAGGCAGGGAGCACUUUGCACAAGAACCAGUAUACUUGUGCAUUUGGAUUCGAAUUUGGGUCUAUUGACUCUUUGUCCAUAUUCCGUAUUAGUGAAAAACUAUACAGACCCGAACAAAGGACUAGCAUGAUGGCUGAACAUCCGGUAUUUGAAGAAACUGCCUGUGACAGCUAAAAAAAAGUGAUAAUCAAUGGGAAAAAAUAUGAUUGAUGGCUAGAAAAUAUUAAUUUUCUUCACAGAUCAUGUGAGAAGUGAUCUAUAUUUAUAUUUAUAUAAUUAUAAAUAUAGAUUUUUAUUUACUGCGUCUCCUCUUUUUCCCUCUAAGAGUUAUUUGUCUUACUUGAGCUGUGAACCAAAUGGCUGGAGAAUGUGCAGUGUAGGUCAAAAUAUAUACAUAUAUUUACAUUAUAUAUUUAAUGUAUAUUUAGCAGUACACUGAGUGACCUUUUGGUUUGUCCGAAUGCUUCUCUGAAUCUUUUUUUUUUCACGAAUGAAUUUUGGCUGAGCCGAACUGUCACAUGAAUGAGCACCAUUCAGAACAAAAUUUAAAUUUUGGUCAAAAUUAUUUGGCCGAACUAAACAAUCCUGCCAUGCUCAAGUCUAGGAACCAGCAAGAAAGGAGUAUUUUAGAAUGGGACAUGCAAAAGAGGAGGCACAGCUGUAAUGCAAAAUGCAGCAAACCUUUUUUUGGUCAAAACGAUUCAAAUUAAAUUAGCAAUAAAAUAGAGCUAAUUAUUAGACUAAAAGUUAUAUAAUACAUAAAUAUUUUGUUAGUGUAUUGAGUGUCCCUUUGACAGUUACCAUUAAUUUUACCAACAUAGUUAAUGAAUAAACAUAAAUGAAGCAAUGGUUAGAUCUGGUACUUGACCUCCAGCUAAAGGAACUUGCAAAUAUCUCUACUGCUCUAUUUUACAUGUUUAAAAAAAUAUAUUUUUUUUAAAUUUAUUUUUUAUAAUGCUGAUAUCUCCAAUAAUUUGCAACUCAUCUCAACAAGACAUAUUGUAACAGAUGAAUAGGCUUAGGGCAUCCGGUGGCUAGUGUAAAGCAUCGAUCACUAUAAGCUCUUUGGGAGCUAAAUGCUCUUGUAACCUGAAUGGUAGUUUAUUGAUGGAAUGGUAAAACCUUUGCUUUAAAGGAACUAUUAUCACAACAGUUCACUGUAGUGGUUAUGGUAGCAGGAGUGCCCAGGUGCACCCUCUUUUUUUAAGUAGUCAAACAAUUUCAGAAACCUCUAGUUAAAAAUUUAUGCUGACCCUUUUUUGCAUAACAAAACUUGUUUAUAAACCUUUAAGUGUACAAAAUAAGUACCUUCCACUUUUUUCCUAUAAUGCAUUAGGCCAGCAUGUUAAACCGAUAACCUUCUUCUCUGAGGUAUAGUUCUUCAUUCCAGUCCAGCAAUGCUUGUGUUUUACAUACAAGCUGUCACAUUUUUAUUGCAGGCUUGAUUUCCAUACAUUACUGAUAAGAGAGAUCUGAAUGAAAUGAAUGCUGACAUGUAACCUCCUCAUGCCUGAAUUAAAGAGCCAACUGUAUUCAUUUGUUUUUUGUUUGGCUUGUAUUGUCGUAGAUUCAAUUUCCCCAAAUUUGCUGAAGAAAUGGCACUCAUGUUAUUCUAUUGACACAUUCAGAAGCUCUUUUUCUGGACGCGUAUCCUCAUAUAAAAGAUAAAAACCAGCAACAAUACAAGAGAGCAACAGUCACAGGCACAAUCUAAUACAUGCCAACCAAGAAUGUCUUUUCAAAUCAUUUAGGCUCCAGAAAGCCACAUUUUCUUUUCAACAUCUGAAGGCUGAUGAAAAGACUAAAAUCUACUUGAAGUAACAAAAAGUCAACAAAGAUAAAGCAGGUUUAUAUUGAUGCUAUUUCUCAGCACAGAAAUGUAACACAAUACACAGCCUUAAAUUUAGCCUGAUUCAACUGAAACAAUUAAUUGGUGUGUUAAUAAAGCAAAUACACAAUAUUGGCAUGUACUAUGUCAGAAUGAAUUAGAACAAAUGUUACAAUGUACUAAAUGAAAAGAGUGCAGAUAUACAGUCAUGGGGGGGAAAAAGUACACCGUCUUUGAAUGCUAUGUUUUUACAUAUCAGGACAUAAUGACAAUCAUCUGUUCCUUAGCAGGCCUUAGAAUUAGGUAAAUACAACCUUAGAGGAACAACAGCACAGGACAUAUUACACCAUGAUCAUGAUUUAAUUAACAAAAAUAAAGUACUAAUGGUCAAGUCAUGUCUGAAAAACUAAGUACACCUUAUGAUUCACUAGCUUGUAGAACCACCUGUAACAGCAAUAACUUGAAGUAAUUGUUCUCCGUAUGACUUUAUUAGUCUCUCACAUAGCUGUGGAGGAAUUUUGGCCCACCUUUCUUUACAACGCUCCUUGAGGUUUGCCGUUAUUUGUUUAUGCACAGCUCUCUUGAAGGUCAUUUAAAUCAUAUUGAGGUCGGGACUUUGACUGGGCCAUUGCAGCACCUUGAUUCUUUUCUUUUUCAGUAAUUCUGUUGUAACUUUGCUAGUGUGCUUGGGAUCAUAGUCCUGUUGCAUGAUCCAAUUUCCGACAUGCUUUAGCUGUCGGACAGAUGGCCUCACAUUUGACUCUAGAAUACUUUGGUUUAUAGAGGAGUUCAUGAUCAACUCAAUGACUGCAAGGUUAAUAGGUCCUGUGGCUGUAAAACAAACCCAAAUCAUCAUCUCUCCACCCCCGUGCUUGACAGCUGUUAUGAGGUAUUUGUGCUGAUAUGCAGUGUUUGGUUUUUGACAAACGUGGCACUGUGCAUUUUGGCCAAACAUCUCCACUUUGGUCUUCUCUGUCCAAAGGAUCUUUGUUCAGAUGCAUCUUUGCAAACCUAAGCCAUGUUGCCAUGUCCACUUCUUUGAAGAUUGGCAGCUGUCUUGAAUGUUUUCUACUUUUGAAUAAUUUUUCUCAUUGUAGAUUGAAGGACUUUAAAUUGAUUGUAAAUGGCCUUAGAGGCCUUCCCAGUUUGAUGGGCAGCAACUAUUGCUUCUCUAAUAUCAUUGCUGAUGCCUUUUCUCCUUGGCAUUGUAUUAACACAUACAUGAAUGCUCCAGACCAGCAAACUACUAAAACGUUUGCUUUUAUAGAAGUGGUUCUGCAUCUGUCUGCUACUUAGCCACUAAAUUCAUAUGGAAAAAGUAAGAGUGUAAUUAGUUUCUCCCACAUUGCUUCUCCAUUUUGGACACUCAUGACCCAGUGUAAUAUUUAUGUGUUGAUGUGUUGUUGUUCAUUUGAGGAUCUAUUUACCUAACUUUAAAACUUGCUAAGGAACAGAUGAUUGUUAUGUCCUGAUAUGUAAAACCAUGCAAUUCAAAGAGGGUGUACUUUCUUUUUCCUAUGAGUGUAAAAUGUAAAUGAAAAGUUGCACACUAUGAUCUUCCUCCUAUUCCCUUCCUUCCUUCCUCUUCCUCUCUCUCUCUCUUCAUGUGCACAUGUGACAUCACACAUAAUACUCCCAUUAUGAGAUUAGCUUUGAGAGAUCUCAGCCUGUAUGUGGAAAUUAUAUUAUAAGUAAUAGGUGAUUUCUACUUUAUGCUUUAGGCCAGGGCUGUCCAACCUGCGGCCCCCCAGAUGUUGCUGAACUACAACUCCCAUGAUUCUUUCAAUGAAACAGAGAGCCAGGGAAUCAUGGGAGUUGUAGUUCAGCAACAUAUAUGGGGCCGCAGGUUGGACAGCCCUGGUUUAGGCAAGCAUUCUAAAAACAAUAAUUUGUUCAAUACGCCACAUCUCUCAGAUAAUCCUUAAUAAAGUGAAUUUGUUAUAUUUUAUUCUGGGGAUAAAAAUAUAGUUACGUUGUUUUUAUUUUGUUUUCAUAUAUUUUUGUUACUCACUGAUCAUUGUUUCAUUAAUUAUAUUGUAUUUCAGCAAACCUGUAAAUAAUCAUUCUUGCUUAGUUUUUAGUUGCCUAACUUUCUCAAGUAUAUAAUAAUUGAUGCAAUAGAUUUAUUCUAUUUUUAAAUUGUUUAUUGAUUUUCUUACGAUGGCAAUCUAUGUCUUCUUCGUUUAAUUUAUUUUCAUGUUUAGAGACUAAUUGUUUGAUCUUUGAUUCUUUGUUGUAUAUAGUGUCAUCUUAUUAUAAAUAAAUUUUGCAUUCUUUCUUCAGAAAUGGAAUGUGAUUAUUUGAGUUUAUUGUCCACAAGGCUACACCUGUUUAUCAAUACUUGUACACAUUUAGUAAAUAAUUCAGAUUUAUUUCUUGACAAUACAAAAGGUAAUUUAUUAACAGCAUUUAGAAACAGUGUAAAACAGAUAAAGAUGAAAGCACUAUGAAUUUUAACGACAAACCAAUAUGAAUAAUUUUAGUGUCAAUCUUUUUCUUUUAACUUUCUAAUUUUUUUGUCGAUUGACUGUGUUCCUGUGGAAACAGAAAGCCAAUGGUGGAACGCAUCUGUCAUAGUGCAGGAUCACAAGCAGCGCCCAAGAAAUUACUGACUCGAAAAUUGGAUGAGAUAUCGAUCGUGACUGGGUUAGAAGGGCGGUCCUCUUCAGACAGAUUUCCACUGGAGGAGAAGCAACCUAUUAGGAGCUCCGAAAUCAGCAGACACCCUUGGAUCCACCUAUCAAGAUAUGCAGUUAGCCCUAUUUAAAGGAACUAUGGGGGGAUUAUGUUAGAAUGCAAUUUUAUUGUCUUAUGCUAUAUUUAUUUACUUAUUGUCCCUGAGGAAGUCCUCAUUGUGUGGAAGAAAUACCUUUGUGUGGAAGAAAUAGUUUUUGUAUUUUAUGGGCUUAUUUUGCCUUAAAUAAAUCUUGAUUAACCUGAUCCUGACACUUGAGAUUCCUUUCUGGGACAACCAUCAGUUCUUGGCACCAAGGAAAGCAGAUGUAACUACAAUCUCAACUCCCUUAAAGGGAAAGAUUUAAGGCACUCAUAGUAUCGAUUUCUUGUGAGUGCAACCAAUAUCACACUUAUUACUUGUAUAUCACAGUACAUAGUGUUGUUAAUUUAUCUUGCAGAUACACAGCUGUAUCCCAUAUUUGUAUUUAUCUAUAUUGUGUUGUAAAGGGCUUGCUAUUUGGGAAGGCCCUUUGGGAAGCUGUACCUAUUUAAGGUCACAUACUCUUGUUUAUAUAUUUUUUCUCACCCAUCACACGUGGGUAUAUAGGUGGCGUGUCUAUAUAUAUAUAUAUAUAUAUAUAUAUAUAUAUAUAGAGUAUAUAGUGGCACCCUAUUAUUAAUUAAUUUUGCGUUCUUACUUCACAAAUUGAUUGUGAUUAUUUGAGUUUAGUGUACACAAGACUACACCUGUUUAUCAAUAUUUAAUAAAUAAUUCAGAUUUAUUUCUUGACAAUACAAAAAUAAAGAUUUAUCAACAGCAUUUACAAUACAAAAAAUUAUUUAUCGACAGCAUUUAGAAACCGUGUAAAAGCACACAAAAACAAGACAGUAACACAAGAGGAAGUUGUAAUGGUUGUUAUGCAAUUCCUCCUCCCCCCCCCCCAAAAAAAAGAUAAAGAUGAAAGCACUGUGGAUUUUAAUGACAAACCAAUAUGAAUAAUUUUAGCGUCAAUCUUUUUCUUUUAAUUUUCUAAUUUUUUGCCGAAUGACUGUGUUGAUUAUAUUUUAAUUAAGUAUCCUAUCAUAAUGAUGCAUACACAAAACACAUAUUAAUACACCCAUUGGGAAUAUACACCACCAUGCAUAAUAUUCACCUUGGUCUUUCCCAUGUUUUGUUGCAUUCAAAUGUGAAAUUAAAUUGGAUUUUUAUUAAAAUUUUUAACAUCUGUUUUUCCAACAUAUAUUACUUUUAGAAUAUGCAAGCCUUUUCUUAUUGUGACACAUUAAUAUUUUGAAUCAACAGCACACAAAUAUUUGUUUCAAAGGUUGAGCUUGAUGGACUUGAGUCUUUAUUUUAUUCAACCUAGAUUACUAGGUAACUAGGUCACUAAUUUAAUGAAGCAAAAAAAAAAAAAAUGCUGGUUGAUUAAGUAUUAAUCUCCAUUGUUUUGUUUGAAAUCACUAAAACAGUUUUGGUGCUAUCAGUUGCCUUCAGAAGUCACAUGAUUUGUUGAAUGUUGUCCAUCUGUGUGCAAUUAAAGUAUCACAUGGUCUCAGAAUAAAUACACCUGCAUCUAGAAGGCCUCAAAGUUUGUUGGAGAGUACAUCUAAACAAGUAGUAUCACAAAGACUAAAAAGCUGUCAAGGUUGGGAUUGCGUUCUGGAGAUUUCCAAUCUUUGAACAUUACCUUGAGUACUACCUGUAUUAUGUUCAUGAGUAUAAUUAAUGGAAAUAAAAAACUCUAGGAAAGGUUGUCCACCAAACGUAGUUAGUUUUAUAUCUUUUUAUACAGUUAUCAGCCUCAAAAGUAUCCUCUGCUGUAGAUAGUCAGAAAGUAACAGAUCUAAAUAAUAAAAAAUAAUGUAUUAAAAUAGUACCAUUUUGAUACAUUAUUUCUUUAUCACUGAGAUUUCUUACUUUCUGACUAUGCACAGCACAGGAUCCUCUUUUGAGAUUGAUAACUGUUUAAAAAGAUUAAUAAAAUAUGCAAAUCAUGACACAGCAAACUAUACAUUUGACAUUCUAUAUUGUAAAUAGGAACCUAAGGAUUUGUUGUUGAAAAAAAUCAGUUUCUGUUUGGAGUUUGACAGUAUUCUUGCAGGAAAAACAAACUUGUGGGAAAAAAAAGACAUUCUCGAAUCUGACGAGGUUUAAAAUAAAACUUUUUGUCCUAAAAUUUAAGGUUCAAAAUGGUUUUAUUUCUGGUGUUUAGGAAUGCAUGUCUUUUCUGGAUUUUUCAAAACACCCCACAAGAACUGCCAUUUUGGAGAUGCUAUGACCCAACUGUCUAACCAUCACUAUUUGGCCUUUGUCAAAGACACUCAGAUCUUUUCACUUGUCAAUUUUCCUUGCUUCCAACUCAUGAAAUUCAAGAACUGACCAUUCACGUUCAAGAACUGACCAUUCACCAUUCACGAUUCCUUCAUAGGUGCCAUUGUAACAUUACAAUCAAUGUUAUUAACUUCACCUGUCAGUGGUUUUAAUGUUGUCAUUGAUCACUCUUUGGAAAUGAAUUGAAACUAAUUUGCACGUGUAAGGCAUGCUAUGUAAAAUAAAUGGUGACAAAUCCAGUAAUAUCUGUUUUAAUUUCAGGUUGUGGCACUACAAAAUUUGGAUAUAUUAAAGGGGAGGGGGUGUAAAUUCUUAUGCUAGGCACCAUGCCACAGUGUUAGAGAGACUGAAGCAGCAAGUGUAUCUGCAUAGUGCGCAAAGUCAGCUUUACAUUGACUAAUUUCAUUGUCAGCCAGUCCACACCAGUUUUCUUCCCCUACAUCCCUCUUAAGUUUUCAUACUUAAGCAAGAGCAUGUGAAGAGUAGUAAAAAAAAAAAAAAAAAUGACUUAUGCCUGGAGCUGCAGCUCCAUCAGCCCCUAUGUUAAUCCGGCCCUGCUAGGCACUGAAUAUAGCAAAAAUGCCUCAUUCCAAACUGCAUGUUACAGUAAAAAUAAAAUAUUCUGAACAUAACAUGGAUGGUUGACCUUAGUGCAUUUUUUUGUAUAAGGUUAUGGUAUUUCUUCUUAAACCACAACAGUAAUGUCUUGAUAAAAAUUACAUCUUCCCCAUUUCUCUCAAACAGGAUAUCGGCAAUGAAAAGAGAAUCUCCAUUUCAAGCAUGAGGUACUCUUAUUUGGGCACAUCCUCUCACUGGAAAUGAGAUGGAUCCCCUGCUGGGAUUAAUAUUCAAUUGCAGAGUCAAUCCUUUUCAUCAACAAAACUCAUCAGUUGGAUCAUUGCCUCAAGAUAAGCCAAUGAGUGCUGAGGCUCAGGGUGGGGGUGGACAGACUUAAUCAUGGUCUGCAAUAAGAAGUGCGCUCACACUCAUAUAACUGCUUGAGAAACGGUGUAUGACAACUUACUACAAAGAUAGCUGCAUAAUAAAUCUUCACAAACUCUAUAUUUGGCUCUUUGUAGUCAGCGAGUUAAAAAAAAGAGGGAUGAACAUAUAAAAUCACUUAAACUAACCACAGAAAAAGAGGAUUCAUUUUUUUUUUCUGAUACAAAAUAAUAAUACGCAGAUUUGUUAUUUUCAUUGGGAUUUGUUCACUAAACAGUAGGACAAAGCCGAACUGCAAAAUUUAGG